rnacentral:rRNA from 1 species
UACCAGCACCCCGAGUGGUCGGGACGUUUAUUGGGCCUAAAGCAUCCGUAGCCGGUUCUACAAGUCUUCCGUUAAAUCCACCUGCUUAACAGACUGGCGUGCGGAAGAUACUAUAGAGCUAGGAGGCGGGAGAGGCAAGCGGUACUCGAUGGGUAGGGGUAAAAUCCGUUGAUCCAUUGAAGACCACCAGUGGCGAAGGCGGCUUGCCAGAACGCGCUCGACGGUGAGGGAUGAAAGCUGGGGGAGCAAACCGGG